rnacentral:rRNA from 1 species
UAUUGCACAAUGGGGGAAACCCUGACGCAGCGACGCCGCGCGAGUGAAGAAGUAUUUCGGUAUGUAACGCACUAUCAGCAGGGAAGAUAAUGACGGUACCUGAGUAAGAAGCCCCGGCUAACUACGUGCCAGCAGCCGCGGUAAUACGUAGGGGGCAAGCGUUAUCCGGAUUUACUGGGUGUAAAGGGAGCGUAGACGGCAGGGCAAGUCUGAUGUGAAAGCCCGGGGCUCAACCCCGGGACUGCAUUGGAAACUGUCAGGCUAGAGUGCAGGAGAGGUGAGCGGAAUUCCUAGUGUAGCGGUGAAAUGCGUAGAUAUUAGGAGGAACACCGGUGGCGAAGGCGGCUCACUGGACUGUAACUGACGUUGAGGCUCGAAAGCGUGGGGAGCAA